AACUUUUUUGCUGGAAGACGUAAUCUCUCCUGCCUCUUUAAUCUCAAAUAUUUAUUAUGGUCUAAUAAAUAAAGAAUCUCACCAAAAACUAAAUACCCAAACCCCACAUUUGCACGUCUCUCUCUCUCUCUCUCUCUCUCUCUCUCUCUCUCAGUUUUUGCCUUCUUCGUUGGGAGAAAAGCUUUGCUCCAGGGACAGAAUACAAGGAGAAAAUUUGAUGCAACACCAACUUGCUUCAACCUCCUCCCUCUUUGGGGUUGGUUCUAGAAAUUGAUGGAUUACCUGUGCAUUGACAUAUGGAAUUACAGUUUAUGAAUUGUCUUUGCUGGGCUGUCCAAAAUGAGUGUUUCUUCAAAUGGCCUCAACACCCUGGUUGUACUCUGCUCCCAUGUGGUCCUAUGUAUGUUUGGUUGUUAGUUUUGGGUUUUUGCCCACGGGUGGCUUUUAUGAAAGUUCAUUUUUCUGAUUUUGCUGUGGUUGUCACUGGGAAGAAAGAGCUGCUUGAGUUUACAGCCCAACCUUUUUUAUUACUAUGAUUUCACCUAUGGAAGGUGAUCUGCUGUAGAAGAUUAUUUGAUGAGGAAGAUUUCAUUCGUCUACGUGUUAUAUGUGUAUGAAAAACAAAAAUUGUUUA